UACGGAUUAUCAUAUCAGUGGCCGGUAGCUAAUAGAUAAGAGAUAAGAGAGAGACAGGAGCGUUAGUCUCUUGUCAUCUGACGAUAUGGCGGCCUCUCCCAUCUAUUGUCUGGGUUGCGAGUUAUUCAGCCCGUAUCCUCAGACGGACUACAGCUUCUCCACUGGAGCUGAGCCGGAUUGUCAAGCUCUGUGAUAACUAUCGGCAACACUAAACAUCUUCUGGUGAUAUCAGAGCUCAAGACAGUAGGAGGACCGGUGUGUGGAGCCUGCUGUUGUAUCAUCUGUGACCGCUACAUCAUGAGAGUCACUGACAACUUGUACCACGAGAGAUGUGACAUGUACAAUGUUGUAUCUUGUACUAGGUGAUGUCAGAGCUCAAGACAGUAGGAGGACCGGUGUGUGGAGCCUGCUGUUGUAUCAUCUGUGACCGCUACAUCAUGAGAGUCACUGACAACU